rnacentral:rRNA from 1 species
GGGUUCGAUUCCGGAGAGGGAGCCCGAGAAACGGCUACCACUUCCAAGGAAGGCAGCAGGCGCGCAACUUACCCUAAUCUCGAUUCGAGGAGGUAGUGACAAGAAAUACCGAUGCGGGGACCCUACGGGUGCCGCGUUCGGAAUGAGUACGAUUCGAACCACCUAACGAGGAACGAUCGGAGGGCAAGUCUGGUGCCAGCAGCCGCGGUAAUUCCAGCUCCAAUAGCGUACGUUAAAGUUGCUGCAGUUAAAAAGCUCGUAGUUGAACGUUCGGGUUCCGCGGGACGGGGCCGCCCCGCGAGGGACGGCGCCGCCCCGGGGCUCGUGAUAUCUCAUCUCGCCGCCCGUCGCGAGGCGGACGGAGGGAUGGAUGAGGUUACCUGGAAAAAAUCGGGGCGAUCUAGGCGGGCGAACCUCGCCAACGAACGAUCGGACAUGGGAUAACGGAAGAGGGCGUCGGCUCGACUUCGUCGGUUCCUCGGGCCGAGGCACGUACGGUG